UAAUUCAAAUCCCUGUGAAAUCUCCUUGAGGAUCUAUAGAUCUCCAUUCUAGAGCUUGAGCUAGAAAGAACAGGGCAUAAGGUAAGGGUUUUUUCUUCAUAUAUUCAUACAAGUGGUAAGGGUUUUUCCUUUUACAUUCUUUACUUGAUAGCUUAAUUUCUAAAAUACAUUGUCAUACAUUUCUUUUAUUUCCUUCUAUUUUUUAGGUCUAGGAACUAU
rnacentral:lncRNA from 1 species